UUUCCUGGCUAGGAAUUCCUCUGGGAAGAGGCCCUCAAUGACAUCCCACAUACUGUUUAACAAACAAGCACAGAUCAGACUAAGCCACCUAAAUGGAGAGAACCACGCGCCACAAGCGGGCAAGUCGGGUGACUCGUGCUCUGAAAGCGAAAGCAGCCGCUUGUAAUGGUUACCUAGGCUGUGGAUACUUCUUGUGUAUCCUCCCCAAGUUUGUAGCUGAAUUUAAAAAAGCAACGUUAGCAUGGGGCUGCAUCGGUAUUUCCAGUUUCUACAGCCGAAGCGCUUUCCUGAAAAGCUUUCACACAGUCCACCGAAGUUGUCGGAAUCUUUGACACCCGCGUUCUGGAAGGAGAAGUCUGGGCCCCACCUGGGGCUCUCAAACCGACUUGCAAGGCCUGGCCUCCUUGGUGGGCUCCCAAGGGGCAGCCUCUACGGAGCCGGUAUUUGUGCCUUUAGAGCUGAGCU